UUUUUGCUGCUUUUUAAUAAAGUAUAUUACUCUACCUCUGGUAUUCGAGUACUAUAUUUUCCACCUUGUUGCACAUGUAUGUGCUCACCCUGGUAUAUAUAUUUAUAUAUAUAUAUAUAUAUAUAUAUAUUUAUAUAUAUAUAUAUA